rnacentral:rRNA from 1 species
UACGGAAGGUCCGGGCGUUAUCCGGAUUUAUUGGGUUUAAAGGGAGCGUAGGUGGACUGUCAAGUCAGUUGUGAAAUCCGCGGGCUCAACCUGCGGCCUGCAGUUGAAACUGGCGGUCUUGAGUCCGUUCAGGGAUGCUGGAAUUCAUGGUGUAGCGGUGAAAUGCUCAGAUAUCAUGAAGAACUCCAAUCGCGAAGGCAGGCAUCAGGGCCGGAACUGACACUGAGGCUCGAAAGUGCGGGUAUCAAACAGG